rnacentral:rRNA from 1 species
AAGUAUUAAAGGUCCCGCCUGCCCAGUGAAAUUUAUUUUUAACGGCCGCGGUAUUCUAACCGUGCAAAGGUAGCGUAAUCACUUGUCUUCUAAAUAAAGACUAGUAUGAACGGCUAAAUGAGGGUAAGACUGUCUCUUAUAAUUAAUCAGUGAAACUGACCUUCCAGUACAAACGCUGGAAUAAGCACAUAAGACGAGAAGACCCCGUGGAGCUUAAAACUAAUCACUAACACAUUAUUACCCUAGUGCACUGUUUUCAGUUGGGGCGACUUCGGAAUAAAACAAAACUUCCGAGCACAGAACCACCACUUCCUACUAAGGCCAACAAGCCCAAGUACAACCUGACCCGGCUCCAAUGCCGAUCAACGAACCAAGUUACCCCGGGGAUAACAGCGCUAUCUUCUUCAAGAGUCCCUAUCAACAAGAAGGUUUACGACCUCGAUGUUGGAUCAGGACACCCAAAUGGUGCAGCCGCUAUUAAAGGUUCGUUUGUUCAACGAUUAACAGUCCUACGUGAU